UACGUAGGGUCCGAGCGUUGUCCGGAAUUACUGGGCGUAAAGAGCUCGUAGGUGGUUUGUCGCGUUGUUCGUGAAAACUCACAGCUCAACUGUGGGCGUGCGGGCGAUACGGGCAGACUUGAGUACUGCAGGGGAGACUGGAAUUCCUGGUGUAGCGGUGAAAUGCGCAGAUAUCAGGAGGAACACCGGUGGCGAAGGCGGGUCUCGUGGGCAGUAACUGACGCUGAGGAACGAAAGCGUGGGUAGCGAACAGG
rnacentral:rRNA from 1 species